GUUACGAUUGAUACACAACGCGGUUUAUUUAUUGGCACAACAACCUUUCCACAGAUAAGCAUUGUAACAAAAUGAUAAAGCAUGGGGAGGAGGUUACUGCUUGGUUCAUCAACGAGAAGCAGUUGCAGUUUAAAGUAAAAUUAGUCGCGAUUUAGUGAAAGUCAAGAUGACAUCAAGUGUUGCUCUGACAAUACUACUUAUCUUUGCACUAACAGCUGUUACAGUUGUUCACUGUUAUUCAUUUUCAUGGAGAUGUACUUGGCAAUGUUCUGUUUAUAAUACAUGUAAGAUUGGGGCUACUUUCGGGGAUAGUAAUUAUUGCGAAGA